rnacentral:rRNA from 1 species
UACAGAGGGUGCGAGCGUUGUCCGGAAUCACUGGGCGUAAAGGGCGCGUAGGUGGCGCUGCAAGUCGGUGGUGAAAGCUCGAUGCUUAACAUCGAGUCGGCCAUCGAAACUGCAGGGCUCGAGCACUGUAGGGGCAGAUGGAAUUCCGGGUGUAGCGGUGAAAUGCGCAGAUAUCAGGAGGAACACCGGUGGCGAAGGCGGUUCUCUGGGCAUUACCUGACGCUGAGGAGCGAAAGUGUGGGGAGCGAACAGG